rnacentral:tRNA from 1 species
ACUAUUUUGGCAGAAUUAAGUGCAAUAGAUUUAGAAUCUUUAAAUAUGAUAAUAAUCAUAGAUAGUA